rnacentral:rRNA from 1 species
ACGCACGCUGGCGGCAUGCCUCACCCCUGCAAGUCGCACGAGACCUUCGGGUCUAGUGGCGCACGGGUGCGUAACGCGUGGGAACCUGCCCUUAGAUUCGGAAUAACUCCCCGAAAGGGGUGCUAAUACCGGAUAAUGUCUUCGGACCAAAGAUUUAUCGCCUUUGGAUGGGCCCGCGUUGGAUUAGCUAGUUGGUAGGGUAAAAGCCUACCAAGGCGACGAUCCAUAGCUGGUCUGAGAGGAUGAUCAGCCACACUGGGACUGAGACACGGCCCAGACUCCUACGGGAGGCAGCAGUGGGGAAUAUUGGACAAUGGGCGAAAGCCUGAUCCAGCAAUGCCGCGUGAGUGAUGAAGGCCUUAGGGUUGUAAAGCUCUUUUACCCGGGAUGAUAAUGACAGUACCGGGAGAAUAAGCGCCGGCUAACUCCGUG